rnacentral:rRNA from 1 species
UGAACGCUAGCGGCAGGGCCUAAUACAUGCAAGUCGGACGGGAUUGAGGAGCUUGCUCUCAUGAGAGUGGCGCACGGGUGCGUAACACGUAUGUAACCUACCUUAAUCAGGGGGAUAGCCUCUCGAAAGAGAGAUUAAGACCGCAUAAAAUCACACUGUGGCAUCACAGAAUGAUCAAAUAUUAAUAGGAUUAAGAUGGGCAUGCGUCCCAUUAGUUAGUUGGUAAGGUAACGGCUUACCAAGACAAUGAUGGGUAGGGGUCCUGAGAGGGAGAUCCCCCACACUGGUACUGAGACACGGACCAGACUCCUACGGGAGGCAGCAGUGAGGAAUAUUGGUCAAUGGGCGCAAGCCUGAACCAGCCAUGCCGCGUGCAGGAAGACGGUCCUAUGGAUUGUAAACUGCUUUUAUACAGGAAGAAACCUCCCUACGUGUAGGGACUUGACGGUACUGUAGGAAUAAGGAUCGGCUAACUCCGUG